AGAAAAUUGAAGAGAAGAUUACCCUAUUCAUUGAUAGAGUCGAGAAGCACCCUAACAGGAAAAAUCAGAUUUGCCUAUCCUUCUGUGAAGUCAAAAACAAACAAGCCUCGUGGUUCACUACCAAAGUAGAACGUUUUUACUGGGAACACUGGUAUAUAAAUUUGAAUGUGGCUCAUCAUCCGAAAGGUCAUCCUGGCAAAUCUCAUCUCUCAAAAGUAGUUGACCCAGG
rnacentral:misc_RNA from 1 species